rnacentral:rRNA from 1 species
UACGAACGCUGGCGGCGUGCUUAACACAUGCAAGUCGAACGGAACGGCCCUGCUUUUGUGGGGUGCUCGCGUGGCGAACGGGUGAGUAACACGUGAGUAACCUGCCCUUGACUUUGGGAUAACUUCAGGCAACUGGGGCUAAUACCGGAUAGGAGCUCCUGCUGCAUGGUGGGGGUUGGAAAGUUUCGGCGGUUGGGGAUGGACUCGCGGCUUAUCAGCUUGUUGGUGGGGUAGUGGCUUACCAAGGCUUUGACGGGUAGCCGGCCUGAGAGGGUGACCGGCCACAUUGGGACUGAGAUACGGCCCAAGCUCAUACGGGAGGCAGCAGUGGGAAAUAGUGCACAAUGGGCGAAAGCCUGAUGCAGCAACGCCGCGUGCGGGAUGAAGGCCUUAGGGUUGUAAACCGCUUUCGCAUGUGACGAAGCGUGAGUAACGGUAAUGGGUAAGGAAACAAGGACUAGCUACGUG